rnacentral:tRNA from 1 species
GCGUCCUUAGCUCAGCUGGAUAGAGUACCUGGCUACGAACCAGGCGGUUCGGGGGUUCGAAUCCUCCAGGACCGCCCCC